GUGCUCGCUUAGCACAUAUACUAAAAUUGGAAUGAGACAGAGAAGAUUAGCAUGACUCCUGCACAACGGUGAUAUGCAAAUUCGUGAAGCAUUCCAUAAGUUA